AAAAGAAAUGCAGAUACGACAGAGGUAUACGUAACCGACGAGAUGUAACUUUUCUUUUUCUAAAACAAGAUACAAUUUUAAGUUAAAAAAAAAAAACAGAGAUGGAGAUAUUCUAUUUAACCGUCCUUAUCGCAAUCAUAAAGUUGCACUUGCCUAUUUGUUCUGGAAAAUCCGUGUGCGAUAAGAAAAUUCAACAUGAACGACUCAUUUAGAAUCUUGAGGUGUGUUCCCCCAAACUUCCCAAGUGCAUUUAACAGUGAACUCUUUCAGAUGUUUUUGUGAAGCAAACAUUUACGAAUUUUCCGGGAAAUGUGUCUGGAAACUCUUCCUAAGUUUCAAGUGUCUUCAAGUAUAAAAUGCCAGAUGAUGAUGUUACCUUCACUCACUGGAGCCUCGCGAGUUCCCUGAAAAUCGCAAUAUCCAUAGCGAUAAUCCUCACAACCCUCCUUGGUAUUGCAAUUUACUUCUGUAUCCGCCAGAGACGUGCUAGAAAAUCCCCAAGCACCCCCCAAACUCCCUCAAGUGCCACAGAAAUGUCAUCAAUCUCCUCCCAAGAAACAAACUCUUUGGGGAAACGCUAGUUUUUUUUAUCUGUAAUUUAUCAAGCUACACAAAGAGACAUUCACUCAACUUUCACCAUGAGAGCAUCCCAAUUGAUUUCCAUGCUGUACACCUCUUCCUCCAGCCAGAGAUGGUAGUGCUCCUUGAAUUCUUCACUCAACUCAACAUCCUCAACACUGUAAGCAGCAGCACUUUGAAUGCAUCUGCCCUGCUGACCGUACAAAUCAUUGGCACACAAAUCAAUCACGCCAUCCAGAUCAAUCAUCUCGCCCUGCCCGGACGCUAUACGAUUGUUUCCACUGGCAUUGGAUGAGAGAUAGCGGCGAUUAUUGAAGCGGUCUACGCAUGCUCUCAGCGUGCAUUCCUCUGCCUGGAAGUCCCAGGGACGAGCAUCGAGAUCUGGAAAUUUUUCAAUAAAUUCCUUAAACGCAUGAAAAACCUCUUAAAACAAUAAAUAAAAAAAGAGAAAUAAGAAAA